AUGACUAUGUCAACCAUCCCCACCAGUUUUGUUGAGAGUGCAGUGCAGUCCUCAUCUUCUGAGCUCUUAGAUGAGCUCACCACUGCCCUCGCUGCAGGACGGUGGUGGGCAAUAAUGGAGCUCUCCGCUCCUAUAUCUGAGGAGCUGGAAUAUGGGGACCUCACCUCACUCAGGUCCCUGUACUCAGGCUUCUCAGAUGCAACACUGAGUGCACCCAUAUCUCCCAGGUUCCAAAAGGGAGCACCUGUGCCUGCCUAUGCUGAGAAGAGGGACCACACCUCGUCCCUGGUCUUCAACAAUGCAUCGGAGAAGGCUGAGUCUCUGCACUCAGGAUUCUCAGAUGCAAAGCUGAAGACCACGGAGCAACAGAGGAAGUGGAGGCAGAAGAAGCCUCAGGGACCACCUGUGCUUGCUGGGUCCGAGAAGGCUGAGUGUGGGAACUCACUGAAGACCACUAAGCAGGUGAGGCAAGAGUGGAGACAGAAGAAGCCUCAGGGAGCACCUGUUCCUGGUGGCUCCCCCCAGGGACAUCCUGUGCCCACUGGGUCCCAACAACGUGGAAAACUCAGGAUCCCUGAGCAUCUGAGGCAGCACCUGCUACAGGCCGCUAAUGAACUGGGAGCACCUGUGCCUGCAAGGUCCCCACAGGGAGCACCAGUGCCUUCAAAGUCUCUACAAAGGGAACCUGUGCCUGUCUCAAAGGUGCAAAAAUUAAAGAUCCCUGAGCCACUAAGGCAGGAGCUGCAGCAGCAGAUGCCUCAAGCCUCUUCUGACAAGGGAGCACCUGUACCCAACAAGACCCCAGAGAGGCAAAGGCUAAAAAUCCCUGAGCCACUGAGGCAGGAGCUGCUGCAGCUGUCGCACCGAGCCUCAUCUGUAAAGGGAGAGCUUGUGCCUCAAAAGAGCCAGGAGAAGCAGAGGCUCAAGAUACCUGAGCGGCUAAGGCAGGAGCUGCUGCAGGUGUCACCCAGAGCCUCAUCUGAGAAGGGAGCACCUGUACCCAACAAGACCCCAGAGAGGCAAAGGCUAAAAAUCCCUGAGCCACUGAGGCAGGAGCUGCUGCAGCUGUCGCACCGGGCCUCCUCGGUGAGGGGGGGACUUGUGCCCCAAAAGACCCAGGAGAAGCAGAGGCUUAAGAUACCUGAGCCGCUGAGGCAGGAGCUGCUGCAGCUGUCGCACCGAGCCUCAUCUGUGAAGGGAGAACUUGUGCCCCAAAAGACCCAGGAGAAGGAGAGGCUUAAGAUACCUGAGCCGCUGAGGCAGGAGCUGCUGCAGGUGUCACCCAGAGCCUCUUCUGAGAAGGGAGAGCUUGUGCCUCAAAAGAGCCAGGAGAAGCAGAGGCUCAAGACACCUGAGCAGCUGAGGCAGGAGCUGCUGCAGUUGUCAGUCAGAGCCUCUUCUGAGAAGGGAGCACCCGUGCCCAUAAAGACUGCAGAGAGGCAAAGGCUUAAAAUACCAGAGCCGCUGAGGAAGGAACUGCUCCAGCAGAAACCUCAAGCCUCUCCUGCAGAUGGUAAACUCCUGUCUUCCCCACAGGAAGUACCUUUACCUGACAGGAACCCUGUACAUACCGGGACCUCACAGGGAGCAGGAGUGCUUGCCAGUUCUCCACUGCCCACUGGGUGUCUGAAGGAAGCAGCAGUGCCCACCAGAACCACAAAGGCAGGAAAACGGAGGCUUGCUGAGCAUCUGAGCAUGCCUGUCUCUUCCACCCAGGGAUUAUCUAUGCCCUCCAGGACCUCAAAAGUGGCGCCUGUGUAUUCUGGGACCUUACAGGGAGCACUUGUGACAAGAAGCUCCCCACGACAGGGAGCAAACCCUAGAAUCACAGAGCAGCAGAAGCAGAAGCGGAGGGAGCAGUGGAGACAGCAGCAGAGACAGCGGAGGCAGCAGAAGGCAUCAGUAAGUUCUUUCCAUUUCUGAUUUUUAUUUAUUUUGAGAUUUACGUCUGCAGUCUUCACCUAAGCUACUAUGUUAUCUAGGUCAUUUAUUUAAAAUCUCAUGACUUUAUAUUUCAAAAUGAUAGAAAGAUAUAUGGUUAUGUCUGUUUCUUCAACAGGACAAUAUAGAUGUGUGUGAGCCUCCGCAAAAAAUACUCUGUGUGGAAAUCGACAAGGUGCCACUGAAGCCUAAACUGGGGAGGCAGAACCAUCAAGCCCCACAGCCCAUGUCCCAGCUCACCCUGAAGAUGGUUAGUCCCUUCUAUCCCACAGUUUUACUUAGACUUAUUUAAAAACAUAAGCACUAAAGAUUCUAUUUUCCGAAUCCGCUAUUUAAAACUGUAUGUAUUAUAUUUCAAUAUGUAAGUUAGUCUGUAAUGAGUAUCAUAUCCUUUUCAAUUCAUAAUCCUCCCUGAUUCUGAAAUGGUAGAAGCAAUAUGUCUUUAGAUAUCCUCAAAGAAUCACUCAUUAAAUCUGCUUAGUGUUACAUCAUUAUGUCUGUGCCUUCAACAGGACAAUGUAAGUGUGAGCUGGUCACCUCCAGAAAAAAGGGAGCGCAUGGUGAGCAAAAUCAGAGACCAACAACUGGGGCCAGGCAGCUUAAAGCAUUUAUGUAGUAUAUUCAUAUGUUUAAUGGAAUAUAUUUAAAUAUUUAGUAUUUAUGUGUAUUGUGUUUGGAUUGAUUUAAUAUGAUUGUGCGUAUAAUAAAAAAUAAAAUCUAAACUUUGCA
ensembl:lncRNA